CAGGGGAUAUGGUGCGUUUUAGAAGAAAAGUUAGACUGGAAAUUGACCUCUCAGAAGUGAGGUGUAUUUCUGUUAGACCAAUGGACCCUGAGCUUUUCUGCAAAGCAAACAUACAAGGAAAUCACUUGCAACAUCUUCAGGCACCAUAUAUUAGAUUAUAUAAAGAUCCAAUGGUUCUGGAAUGCAAAAAGGAAGACAUCACUUUCUCAUUCAACUGUCAAAGCACUGCUCGUUGUGUCCUCAGUUUUAUCUGAUUCUCCAAACUCAAAGAUAAAUUAGGUAAUU
rnacentral:lncRNA from 1 species